ensembl:lincRNA
AAUGUUGCUUAAAUAUCCUUCCUAGUUUCAGCUGGCUGGACCAUUAUGUGGGAAACAGUGCCUUGUGAAGCCAGCAGGUGUGGUAGUUGCCAUUAGAGGAAUAUUCAGAAGGUGGCACUACAGCUCAGCUCUGCGGUGUCAAGUUUGCCCACAGAUGAGGGUCUGCUUUCUGCAAGUGAUCUCUGCUGGUCAUUCCUAGAACUCUGCCAUGCUGCGACCUUCAGGAGGGCACACAGGUGGGUCAUCCUCCCUAUGAAAGUGCAUCAGCCUUGGCAGUCUCUGUGUCCCUAUCUCAGACUCCAUUUUCAUUUGCCGUGUAAAUUACAGGAUAACACAGAACAAGAUCAACCCUGGAAGAAAAACCACUGAAUUUGGAAAGACAUCACCCACUGAAUUUGGACAGAACACCUCUGCUCAAUUAAGAGAAACAUUUGUACAGUCCAGGUCUUUAUUUUUACACCCAUCAUGCUAUGCAUUCAUAGGGCAUGGGCUCCAACAGUUCGGGUUCCUUUCCAUUGGUCCUCACGAAGUGUGCUUCUCUGGGUGGAGCAGACUGGCGCUUCAGCUGAACCCAAGUCCCUUCCUCUUUGGCUUCCUUAUAUUUCUGAUCAUCUUCCUUCACACAUUUCAGGAAGCUAUCUUGGCUCUUAGAGUGCUUAAUAUGCUUGAUAGGCACAUUAAUUCUUUUGGCAAGAAUCUUGCCCUUAACUUGUUUGUGUACAAUGAUGCCAACAGCAUGCUGGGUAACAUUGUCGACUCUCCCAGGUUUGCUAUGGUAACAUUUGUGGGGCAUUCCUUUUUGAACAGUACCCAUUCCCUUGAUAUCUACAAUAUCACCCUUCUUGUAGAUUUGCAUGUAUGUGGCCAAAGGAACAGCUCCAUGUUUUCUAAAAGGCCUGGGGAACAUGUAGUGGGUGCCCCUCCUCUUUCCCUUUGUGUUGUUCAUUUUGGCGAAUUACUGGAAGAUAGCGGUUCC